rnacentral:lncRNA from 1 species
CUGCUGUUUAUCUGUUCCUAGAGAUGCUAGAAUUCUGGAGAAUUUUAUCUUUGAAAAUCUUUAAAAUGUUGCAUGAUGAGUUUAUGUAUGAUGAGAGUUUAAAUUCCUACCACAGCCAUAUAUACAUGCUUGCUAGACCUUGAGCCACACAUUUACUCUUUACUGCUUAUGAGCAUUGAGUGUGGUCAAGCUGUGUAGACCCUUAGGAGCUUGUCAUGUGGUUAAAAUCAAGAUUCACUUGCACGUUCACUCAUACAUGCUACUCCUACUCCGGAAGUACCAUCCACAUAUAUCCACUCAUUUCCAUCUCCAGGUUCAUCCAAAAGUAUUCUACUCCUAAUCCGGGAGAGAAUAACCAAAAAUAUUUCUGUUUCCCCUUGUGAAAUAAAUGCUCAAGUUAUCUUGUUACUACCACUUGCUAUAUUAUCUCAAGAGAUGAAUGCUCUGAAAAAAAAGAGAAAAAGAAAAUAAAAGAUACGAGGAAAUAAAAAGGAGCAAGUGCUCGGAACCUCGAAAGAAAAGAAAAAGAAGAGCAUCUCAUUCUCCUCAUAAAGUUUCAAAAGCAAGGAAGGUAUGUAUCUCCUCAAAGAGCAAAGUAGAAUUAGACUUCCAUCACCAUUGUUAUCACCAUUAUCACCAUACACCAUUCAUUCGCCACACAUGCAUAUCUUGAUUUGGCUUAUUGAUUCGUUUCUUUGGAUCCAUGGUUUGACUAUGCAAUAAAUGUCUUGUAAGUAUGUAUACUUUAUCUCCCACCUAUGAGCUUCAGAUAUUAAAGCCUUAUUAGAGUAGGGUGAGAGAGAAGACAAUGUCACUAUGCUUCAUAUCACAAAUACUACAUAUCUUGAGAGAAGGCAUAUACCAUCACUGCCUUGGUAAGGAUCCAAAAAUACCACAAAAGAGAGACCUGAGAGAAUCAUACAAGGAAUUUCUGAGUUGUAUUUGAAAAUCUGCAAAAACCCCAGAGCUAUAGCUGAUCAAGAAAAAGAGACAUGGCACUUGGCUAGACUGUUCUAUCUUUUAACCACUCAAGACAGAAGUGACGGUUACAAGUCCUAUGGUGUAGGUAAAGUAAGUAAGUUUUAAGUCUUAACAGUUUAUUCUAACUCAGAGAUGAGAUCUUGCUUAAAUGCGUGUGUACAUCUAAGAAAUGAAACCACUGCAGAAACUCUUGAGUUCAUCCUUGCUCAGGGACGAGCAAGAGGUAAGCUUGGGGGAGUUUGUUGACGGUGUUUAAGUAUCAAAUUUAAUUAUCAAAUAAACAAAGAAAAGGAUCCAAAUGAAAUCAACAUCUAGACUUAGGGUUUUAUCUGACAGAAUUCCACGAGUUUUGGUGUUUGUCUAUUUCUGCAGGGGUUAUCAGGAAAUAAGGAAGAAAGGCCCACAUGUCGGGAUUACAUAGAGAUAUCAACCCACCGCGCAAUUUUCUACCAUCUAGAAGACUCCAGAAGCCACGGGAAGGAAGCGGAGCCCGAAAGGGGCCAGGCCCAGGGCGCCCGCCCUGAGGACCUGGGCGCCCGCCCCCCUCUGGACUCCGUUUCGGACUCUCUUCGCACACGACGUUCCACCGACCUAUUGGAUCCAGAAUAACAUAGUACCACCUCGCCUAUCGACCCAAAAACGCAUAGAAGGGGAGGACUAUAUAAGGAGACCCCCUCUGGCCCCUGGAGGAGACAAGAAAUUAUCAUAGAGAUUGAGGGGUGCCCUCGAAGGAAAACCUCUUCUCUAAAUAAUAUUUCUUUUUAGGCUUAGCAACCAAUGUAAAGUAGAAAUAGAUCUUCUAGUUUGUACUAGAUUGAGAGAGAUAGAGUGGAGGUGUGGAUCGGAGGAAGGCCGGCCUGUCGGUGUCUACUCCGAGUUGUACCUACGGGAUCAAGUCUCCUAACCCGAGGCUUGCUUCUAAGAUUCUUCAGUAAUUCGACUUCUAAUACUAGUAAGUUCUUGUUUUAUUGUUCUUUGGUUUAUGAGUUUACUUUAAUCCUCUUCCGGUUGAGUAUUAGAGUAAUCACUUGUUAGCGUAAACGUGGUGUUUAGGCUAGGGUACUCAUAGAUAUCCCCUGACUAGCUGGACCGUGGUAGUAGCGAGGAACGUGACAUUUCCGAGUUACCUUUGUAGAUCACAUCUCGUUAGCAGGACGGGUAGGUUUAUAGGUGCGGGUCGAACAUCCUUUGUGUUGUCUAGAUUCCGUGAGCCUCCCCAAUAGAACAGUAGAUCAUCCUUACCAAGGUUAGAACGAGACUACGGUUGCAGUCUUCUCUAUACAUCACUCACAUCGAGAGACAUUCUUUGUAGCCUAAAGGGAUAGUAGCAAUAGAUUUGGUUAGUCAGAUGCACCCUUUCUCCCAGUGGUAAAAAUAUAAAUACGAUAACUCUAGAUAACCUCCCAGGUGAAAUGCUCACCGAUAUCCGUGCGCUUGCGGAUCAUUUUCUAAUUGCGUUACCAAAUAUCAACAAGCAUUUCUGGCGCCGUUGCCGGGGAGAAAGACGGUUUGCUGAGAUAACUUUGAGUCUUGCUAUUAUCUUGUAUUAUACUUUAAUACUUUUAUUAUUUUAUCUUUUUAUUUUUAUCUUUAUGGAUAACUCAAAUUCCAUACCUAUAAUUAAAUUCUUUGCACCUUCGGAGACCAGCCAUAGACCAUGGGAGUCAACACGUUCUGCCCCUAAUUAUGAUCUGUGUCCGGAGUUGAUUGCAAUAGGUCAAAACCAACCCUUUUCUAUAGCCGAGGUCCUAUCUUUUAAUCAAGAAGAUAAUGCACUUUUAGCUACACCUAGGGAAUCUUUUAAUCUUUCUAUAAAUUCUGGUUUAGACCUAGCCCUACAAGACCAUGUUUUUCCUAGAUAUUUUCACAUUGGUCUUAAUCAUAUAACCUUUGGUAGAGUCUUUCUUUCUUUAUCUAUUAGUAAAGGAAGGUAUGUCUUCAUUCGUGGACAUCUUUCUUGUACUAGUCUUCAUAGAAAAAUCUUAGAGAUAGAGAAGGAAUCAUCUCCCAGACAAGGAAAGGAAGUUUCAAUAGCCGAUUUCCAAACAUUCCAAUCCCAUGAUUCGGCUAUCCAACCCAUCCUUGAACUUAAUAAUUUCUACUAUGCUCUUUCUCUUGAACCUCCCGAUGAUCCUAUGAAUCUAUCUAGACAUCCCAUUCAUAAGAGUCACCAAGACUACAAGGAGGAUCGAGAAGAGCAGCAUCAAUGGCUAGAGGGCAUUAAAAAUCCAUGUGCUAUCACCAUUGAAUGGAUAGAUAAAACAAACUUGAGAGACAAUCCUAGAGGAAUUUUAAGCAUUCAUGAAGAAUCAUCAUUGGAGAUUGAGAAUGAGAGAAACAACAGUGAGCAUGGAAGUUAUUUCAUAAAUACCUUACCAAGUCCUUGCUCAUAUAAAACAUCUCCCCAAUCAAUUGGUCUCUCCAUCCUUACCACAUUUGAGAUCUCCAACCCCCUCUUCCUUUCUAUUUAUAAAAACUUUAAAAGAGCGGUUGUCGAUGCAUAUGUCUAUAAUAAAUAUUGCAGAUCUCGUUGAGUUGAUUGAUGGUUUCCCAAGGACAAGCUUAGUGUCCUAAAACAAGCACCUAUCAGAUUGUGACAUGAACUUCUAAUUAUUUGCAACAUUGCCUUGUGUAUUGAGCAUAUAAAGAUAAUUGUAGAAAUAUUCCUUCGGGUAUUCUUGUCACUAACCUUUCCAGGAUUGGAGCAAGAAGAUCCGAGGAAUGACAAGCACAAGGUAUGUCCAACCAAUCAUCAUGCAACAUUAAAUUAAAUUCAUCCAAUCUUGAAUUUUGCAAAAUUCAAGCUUGGGGGAGUAAUUUACAAAAAACAUCCUUUGCCAUGUUGCUAUGUUGGUUGUCCUUACCUUUGAGACAUGCUAAAUACUAAUCACACUACUUCAUCUCCACUUGAGUAGAUCUCUAUAAAAGCCAUCAUGCUACCUUUGUUUAUCCUAGUAAGUGUUAGUUUGGAAGUACUGGUCACACUUCCAAUGGCAUUUAAAUUAAGCGUGGUGCUUAGGUUAAAUAGCCUUCCCUAAUCUGAGUAGACAUGGAGUCUAGUUUGGUUACUGAACUAAAAACUGCUUGAGUAGAUAUUGGUAUAUUUUGUUGGACUAACCCCUGUAGGAAAACAUUCAAUAUCAACCUGGGAAGUCCUGAGAUAAACUCACUUUUGAGAUGAAGAAAGUGACACAUGAAGUUUAACAAUUUGCACAAGAAAGACGUAGCUCAUAAGAGAUGAUUCAUGGAGGGUGCCACAAACACGAUGCACAACCGCUAAGAAAGGAAAGAUUCCACAAGGUGAUACUGUACCAUCACUCUUCAAGUAAGGUAACAUUUUAAGGUACUUGACUAUCACUUUUAUAAGUUUCUCGUUGGUUCUAGCAUUCACAUAAAUAAAGAGACAAACAUGUAUGAUUUGUAACUCCAAAUUAACCAACCCAAUUAAAUCAACAUGUUUAGUCCUUUAAUCUUUGUUCUUAGUACUACCUUCGUGAUCCCACACUCCUAAUCAUAUAAGCUAAAAUAUUGCACAUUCAAUCUUUGGAAGAUAUAAACAAAACAUAAAUAUAGAUAGUUUAUCUUUCCAUUAGGUUGAGCCAUCUGAUCUAACAAAUGUUUUAAAUUCUACACUCAUGAUCCAUCAACUUUGCCUUGCUCACUAUGCUUAAGGUUAGAGAAGAACAAAUACACUUUUGGUUCUGUUGGUGUUUUCCACCAACAGGGCCCAUGCACUUGAUCUCUGCCUUGUCUCUAUGAAUAGGUACACUUCAAACAAAACAUGGAGGAGUUUUACAACUCCCAGAUUCCACCAAGUGAAGAACCGGGAUCUACGAGCACAAAACACAAUGGAGAUCAGACACUUAGUUUUCCAAAGAAAAUAUUGAAGAACCUCUGUGUCCAAGUUGGUACCUUGUACGCUCCAGCAAAAUUCGUGGUGAUAGAGACUGGUACUGAGGAGAGGGCACCCAUCAGCUUAGGGAGGCCAUUCCUAAACACCAGAAGUGUCAUCUACGCUAAUGCUGCCAAGAUCAGUCUCUACAUCAAGGGGAAGAGGGAGAUUUUCCUUCAAGAACAAGACUACACAAACUUCAGAGCAACCCCGACAUCAACCAAGGCAGAGGACCAACAGGAGGAACAGGAACAAGCAAAUAUGGACCGAGUCAGCUAAGAUGGUCACUGCAGUUCAAGGAGGUCAAGAUCGUCGAAUCAAGUCACCUUUCUUGAUCAAGAAGAACGACCCUGGUGUCCUAAGCAUUGAGUGCACAAUCAACAGAUACUCUUUUCAUAAGACACUCUACGACACCGGAUCUGACGUCAACAUAAUGGCCGUAGUCACUUAUCAGCUCCUGCAUGAAACCAUGCCCCUACAACCAAUAUACAUUCAGCUAUAGAUGACUUUCAAGUUAUUGACAUGGGAGAAGAUGAAUAUGAUCCACCCACCAUCCUUGGAAGACAGUUCCUCAGCACUAUCAAAGCCAUCAUCUAUAUUGGAACCGGAGAAGUCCACAUACACUUCUCCUCUGAGAAGGUAUGCCGCUGUUUUACUGACCCUAACUAUAUAGUUGAAGACUCUAAGCAGGUCAGGACAAGAAGAAGACAUCGCAACCGCAACCAGAGGAGGCAAAUCAUCAAGGACAGAUGGGUAGACUACGAAGGAGAAGUGAUAAGGACUGAAGACAUACCACUUGAACAUAACUGUCCUGAGGAGACCAUAGCACCGAGUCAGGUGUGGAGAGAGAAUAUAGUUACAUACGAAGAGGAGGCGCCACCGGAAUCACCGACUACGUCAUCCAGCGAAUCCCAGGACGAUUAAGAAAAUGGAGAGUCCCGCUCGGAGGACUUAAAAACACCGAACGCCUUGCCAAGAGGUAAACUUGGUAGUUAUCCUUUCCCUUUUAAUUAUUUCAAAUAGUUUACUUAGUUAAUCAUGUUCGUAUUAUCCUAGAAAGAAAAUAAAAAUGUGAAAAAAACUGUAAGCCCCAUGUGAGUAGACGAGUGGCAUAAAACCCAUAAGUACAUUCACUAUGGUGGCAUAAAAAUAAAAUAAAUAUUUUUCUGCUUUAUAAAAACAAAAAUAUAAAAACAGGGAGUAAUAUUUAUUAAGGAGUCUCAACAUGAUAAAGGCUAGAUAUUUAUGCUAACACUUAACCAGUUCCACAAGCUUUGUUGUCUAUUUGAGCUCCACAGAAUUUAAGAAUCAAGAAGACUAGCAGACGGAGGACAUUCUAAUCGCUGUCAAAAUACUGCUGACUUUCAAACACACCUCUGCCACCUGCUAGCUACAUCAAGAAAUUACGUCAAAAUUCAGCUUGGGGGAGAGCACCCCCAUUUAUCUCGAUAAGUAUUUCUAUCUACUUAUACUAUAUUAGAAUAUAAAUACACAUAACUAUGAAAAACCAAAUAAAUAUUUUAUGCUUAUAUAUAUUUUGCUUAGUAUGUUUAAUAAAUAAAUAAAGUGGUUAUGCUAAUCGGUAUCUAAUAAAACUUAAGCAUGGAUAUGAUGAAUAGUUGCUCUGCCUAAUUUGCAAAUUUGAAGUUCUCUCUCAAGUUUAGAUAUAACUGUUAUAAUUUAAGGCUUGCUCUAGACCUAAACUUGUGGGAUGAAAACUUGAUCUGAAGUCUAAGUUGUUAACGGAUACGAUAUGGGAAGGUUGAGCUGCUGUUUAUCUGUUCCUAGAGAUGCUAGAAUUCUGGAGAAUUUUAUCUUUGAAAAUCUUUAAAAUGUUGCAUGAUGAGUUUAUGUAUGAUGAGAGUUUAAAUUCCUACCACAGCCAUAUAUACAUGCUUGCUAGACCUUGAGCCACACAUUUACUCUUUACUGCUUAUGAGCAUUGAGUGUGGUCAAGCUGUGUAGACCCUUAGGAGCUUGUCAUGUGGUUAAAAUCAAGAUUCACUUGCACGUUCACUCAUACAUGCUACUCCUACUCCGGAAGUACCAUCCACAUAUAUCUACUCAUUUCCAUCUCCAGGUUCAUCCAAAAGUAUUCUACUCCUAAUCCGGGAGAGAAUAACCAAAAAUAUUUCUGUUUCCCCUUGUGAAAUAAAUGCUCAAGUUAUCUUGUUACUACCACUUGCUAUAUUAUCUCAAGAGAUGAAUGCUCUGAAAAAAAAGAGAAAAAGAAAAUAAAAGAUACGAGGAAAUAAAAAGGAGCAAGUGCUCGGAACCUCGAAAGAAAAGAAAAAGAAGAGCAUCUCAUUCUCCUCAUAAAGUUUCAAAAGCAAGGAAGGUAUGUAUCUCCUCAAAGAGCAAAGUAGAAUUAGACUUCCAUCACCAUUGUUAUCACCAUUAUCACCAUACACCAUUCAUUCGCCACACAUGCAUAUCUUGAUUUGGCUUAUUGAUUCGUUUCUUUGGAUCCAUGGUUUGACUAUGCAAUAAAUGUCUUGUAAGUAUGUAUACUUUAUCUCCCACCUAUGAGCUUCAGAUAUUAAAGCCUUAUUAGAGUAGGGUGAGAGAGAAGACAAUGUCACUAUGCUUCAUAUCACAAAUACUACAUAUCUUGAGAGAAGGCAUAUACCAUCACUGCCUUGGUAAGGAUCCAAAAAUACCACAAAAGAGAGACCUGAGAGAAUCAUACAAGGAAUUUCUGAGUUGUAUUUGAAAAUCUGCAAAAACCCCAGAGCUAUAGCUGAUCAAGAAAAAGAGACAUGGCACUUGGCUAGACUGUUCUAUCUUUUAACCACUCAAGACAGAAGUGACGGUUACAAGUCCUAUGGUGUAGGUAAAGUAAGUAAGUUUUAAGUCUUAACAGUUUAUUCUAACUCAGAGAUGAGAUCUUGCUUAAAUGCGUGUGUACAUCUAAGAAAUGAAACCACUGCAGAAACUCUUGAGUUCAUCCUUGCUCAGGGACGAGCAAGAGGUAAGCUUGGGGGAGUUUGUUGACGGUGUUUAAGUAUCAAAUUUAAUUAUCAAAUAAACAAAGAAAAGGAUCCAAAUGAAAUCAACAUCUAGACUUAGGGUUUUAUCUGACAGAAUUCCACGAGUUUUGGUGUUUGUCUAUUUCUGCAGGGGUUAUCAGGAAAUAAGGAAGAAAGGCCCACAUGUCGGGAUUACAUAGAGAUAUCAACCCACCGCGCAAUUUUCUACCAUCUAGAAGACUCCAGAAGCCACGGGAAGGAAGCGGAGCCCGAAAGGGGCCAGGCCCAGGGCGCCCGCCCUGAGGACCUGGGCGCCCGCCCCCCUCUGGACUCCGUUUCGGACUCUCUUCGCACACGACGUUCCACCGACCUAUUGGAUCCAGAAUAACAUAGUACCACCUCGCCUAUCGACCCAAAAACGCAUAGAAGGGGAGGACUAUAUAAGGAGACCCCCUCUGGCCCCUGGAGGAGACAAGAAAUUAUCAUAGAGAUUGAGGGGUGCCCUCGAAGGAAAACCUCUUCUCUAAAUAAUAUUUCUUUUUAGGCUUAGCAACCAAUGUAAAGUAGAAAUAGAUCUUCUAGUUUGUACUAGAUUGAGAGAGAUAGAGUGGAG